rnacentral:lncRNA from 1 species
UUUACUCUUCAGGGGCCCUAAUCAUUCUAUACCUGAACUGGACAGAAAGAAAAUAAUUUGUUCACUUAACAGAAAGAAAGUCUAUACUCCCAAAACAAAAUGAGUCAGACAGUGAUCUUUGAAUUAACAGGCUCUGCUGACGGACUAUUUUCCCCACUUUUCAUCAGUCUGGUGACAGUGGACUCUGGACAGAGAUAAAUGAGAGGUCAAGCUACCCUUCAUUUUUCCAGAGGAUUAUUUCACCCACAGAUAAGGCACGAAGAAGGAAGUAAUAGUCAAGACCAGCCUGUGAGAAAACAACAAAAAAAGGAUAACUAACAAAAGCCCCAUUCUCCAGCUCUUGCCCCGGCCAGCGCUUCAGCACGGUGAAAAUUCUAACAAGGAGCAAACAGCAAAGAACUGAAAUGCUAUACAGACUCCAGUGAGAAAAAACUGAGGUAAUUGGUUUCGGUGUGCUGGUGCUUGAAACUCUAUCCCAGUGCUUCCUUCAACUAAGGCUGCAAAUUGAAAAUGUGAAGAACCUUGCCUGCUUGAACCAGCCUGGGCUUGUGGCAGCAUCAUUCUGUCACUUAAUUCUUCUCACAGAGAUGGAGUCUCUGUCUGUUGCCCAAACUUCCCAGAUUCAAGUGAUUCUCC